rnacentral:rRNA from 1 species
GAGCCAGCCGACACGGGACUACGACGGGUGCAAGCGUUACUCGGACUCACUGGGCGUAAAGGGUGCGUAGGCGGGUUAUCAAGUCUCGAGUGAAAUCCAACGGCUUAACCGUUGAACUGCUUGGGAAACUGGUAGCCUAGAGUGAGGGAGAGGCAGAUGGAAUUGGUGGUGUAGGGGUAAAAUCCGUAGAGAUCACCAGGAAUACCCAUUGCGAAGGCGAUCUGCUGGAACUCAACUGACGCUGAGGCAC